UAUGCUGGAGGUAUCAGAAGUGCGAAUGCUGACAUAAGUAACGAUAAAGCGGGUGAAAAGCCCGCUCGCCGGAAGACCAAGGGUUCCUGUCCAACGUUAAUCGGGGCAGGGUGAGUCGACCCCUAAGGCGAGGCCGAAAGGCGUAGUCGAUGGGAAACAGGUUAAUAUUCCUGUACUUGGUGUUACUGCGAAGGGGGGACGGAGAAGGCUAUGUUGGCCGGGCGACGGUUGUCCCGGUUUAAGCGUGUAGGCUGGUUUUCCAGGCAAAUCCGGAAAAUCAAGGCUGAGGCGUGAUGACGAGGCACUACGGUGCUGAAGCAACAAAUGCCCUGCUUCCAGGAAAAGCCUCUAAGCAUCAGGUAACAUCAAAUCGUACCCCAAACCGACACAGGUGGUCAGGUAGAGAAUACCAAGGCGCUUGAGAGAACUCGGGUGAAGGAACUAGGCAAAAUGGUGCCGUAACUUCGGGAGAAGGCACGCUGAUAUGUAGGUGAAGUCCCUCGCGGAUGGAGCUGAAAUCAGUCGAAGAUACCAGCUGGCUGCAACUGUUUAUUAAAAACACAGCACUGUGCAAACACGAAAGUGGACGUAUACGGUGUGACGCCUGCCCGGUGCCGGAAGGUUAAUUGAUGGGGUCAGCGCAAGCGAAGCUCUUGAUCGAAGCCCCGGUAAACGGCGGCCGUAACUAUAACGGUCCUAAGGUAGCGAAAUUCCUUGUCGGGUAAGUUCCGACCUGCACGAAUGGCGUAAUGAUGGCCAGGCUGUCUCCACCCGAGACUCAGUGAAAUUGAACUCGCUGUGAAGAUGCAGUGUACCCGCGGCAAGACGGAAAGACCCCGUGAACCUUUACUAUAGCUUGACACUGAACAUUGAGCCUUGAUGUGUAGGAUAGGUGGGAGGCUUGGAAGUGUGGACGCCAGUCUGCAUGGAGUCGACCUUGAAAUACCACCCUUUAAUGUUUGAUGUUCUAACGUGGACCCGUAAUCCGGGUUGCGGACAGUGUCUGGUGGGUAGUUUGACUGGGGCGGUCUCCUCCUAAAGAGUAACGGAGGAGCACGAAGGUUGGCUAAUCCUGGUCGGACAUCAGGAGGUUAGUGCAAUGGCAUAAGCCAGCUUGACUGCGAGCGUGACGGCGCGAGCAGGUGCGAAAGCAGGUCAUAGUGAUCCGGUGGUUCUGAAUGGAAGGGCCAUCGCUCAACGGAUAAAAGGUACUCCGGGGAUAACAGGCUGAUACCGCCCAAGAGUUCAUAUCGACGGCGGUGUUUGGCACCUCGAUGUCGGCUCAUCACAUCCUGGGGCUGAAGUAGGUCCCAAGGGUAUGGCUGUUCGCCAUUUAAAGUGGUACGCGAGCUGGGUUUAGAACGUCGUGAGACAGUUCGGUCCCUAUCUGCCGUGGGCGCUGGAGAACUGAGGGGGGCUGCUCCUAGUACGAGAGGACCGGAGUGGACGCAUCACUGGUGUUCGGGUUGUCAUGCCAAUGGCACUGCCCGGUAGCUAAAUGCGGAAGAGAUAAGUGCUGAAA
rnacentral:rRNA from 1 species